rnacentral:lncRNA from 1 species
GGAGCCUCCUGGGGGGGCGCUCAGACCUUGAGGAAGAGUGGGCACCGCCUGGCUCGUCAGGGAGGACACCUGGCCGUGCUUCUGGGAGCGCCUGCGGCAGAAGGCAGGGGACAUAGCCCCUUGGGGCUCCUGGCAGAUCCGCAGGGAUAUCCUUGGCGCUUCCUAGCCUGGACGAUGCAGCUGAAGGUUGUGCCAUUGAUGUUUGUAAGACACACCAGUAACCUCGGAACACUUAGCAGAGAGCUCCUCCCUGGAUGGCUUCCGGAUGGAGGCGGGGCAGAUUGGACGGAGGAAUGAGCUGAAGGAAGAGGAUAUGGCAGGGGUGAAGGCCAGCUCCCGGAGGGUAAGGAGCCCCGGCUGGGGCCUGCUGCGUGCUGGGGGGGCCUUCUACCAGGGGUGGGGGUGG